UACGGAGGGGGCUAGCGUUGUUCGGAAUUAUUGGGCGUAAAGGGCGCGUAGGCGGCCUGGUAAGUCGGUUGUGAAAGCCCUCGGCUCAACCGAGGAAUUGCGACUGAAACUGCCGGGCUUGAGCCCCGGAGAGGGUAGCGGAAUUCCCAGUGUAGCGGUGAAAUGCGUAGAUAUUGGGAGGAACAUCGGUGGCGAAGGCGGCUACCUGGACGGGUACUGACGCUGAGGCGCGAAAGCGUGGGUAGCGAACGGG
rnacentral:misc_RNA from 1 species